GCUUGUUGGUGAGGUAACGGCUCACCAAGGCGACGACGGGUAGCCGGCCUGAGAGGGUGACCGGCCACACUGGGACUGAGACACGGCCCAGACUCCUACGGGAGGCAGCAGUGGGGAAUAUUGCACAAUGGGCGCAAGCCUGAUGCAGCAACGCCGCGUGAGGGACGACGGCCUUCGGGUUGUAAACCUCUUUUAGUAGGGAAGAAGCGAAAGUGACGGUACCUGCAGAAAAAGCACCGGCUAACUACGUGCCAGCAGCCGCGGUAAUACGUAGGGUGCAAGCGUUGUCCGGAAUUAUUGGGCGUAAAGAGCUCGUAGGCGGUCUGUCGCGUCUGCUGUGAAAACCCGAGGCUCAACCUCGGGCCUGCAGUGGGUACGGGCAGACUAGAGUGCGGUAGGGGAGAUUGGAAUUCCUGGUGUAGCGGUGGAAUGCGCAGAUAUCAGGAGGAACACCGAUGGCGAAGGCAGAUCUCUGGGCCGUAACUGACGCUGAGGAGCGAAAGCGUGGGGAGCGAACAGGAUUAGAUACCCUGGUAGUCCACGCCGUAAACGUUGGGCGCUAGAUGUGGGGACCAUUCCACGGUUUCCGUGUCGCAGCUAACGCAUUAAGCGCCCCGCCUGGGGAGUACGGAAU
rnacentral:rRNA from 1 species